AUUUUGUUUCUGAUUUCCAGUAUCUGCAGUUCUUUGGAUUUUUUUGGUCCAAAUAGAUCAUGUUCACUGGCUGUCUGUCGGAUUUACUCGUUACCUCCUCAAUGCACUGGAACCAAUUUCUCAGACGUGACCUCCUCACGUUGACACUGCCCAUUGUGUCAAGGCUUGGCCUUCAAAGAUUGCAUUCCAUACACUAAAUACAGCGUGAGCCUCCUCUGGAUAUUCUGUGUUCCUCAACUGUGUAAACCUUGCCAAUAUUUUACAGAGGCUGAGAGUCUGGAUUUGUUUCCUAUUAUUCUGGGCUGUGUGCUGUGUAUCCUCGUGUUACUGAUCAUUGCUGUUAUUGCUGUCCUCUGUGUAAAACGAUGGGCAUGCUUCAGAACGACAUCAACACCAAACAGGGAUACCAAUGAAGGAAAUGACAUCGUAUAUGCAACAGCUAGUGCUCGAACCCCAGCCAGCAAUUUACCAGCUGCUGUUCCUGUGGGGGAGGAUGAUGGGCAGGUGCAUUACGCUGAACUCCAACUCCGACAGGUCACCCAGCGCCCACCCAGGACACAGACAGUGACAGAUCCAGACUCCGAGUAUGCGGCUGUCAAACACACAUAGUCUCCUGGAUGUAUCCAUCAUUAUUGCUGCAGGCAACCCACUCUCUGGAUCCUAUGAUGUGGAGGAGCCAGGGUGGACACAGUUAAAAAUCACACAACCCCAGGUUAUAGUCCAAUAGGUUU